UACGUAGGGUGCGAGCGUUGUCCGGAAUUAUUGGGCGUAAAGAGCUCGUAGGCGGCUUGUCGCGUCGGAUGUGAAAGCCCGGGGCUUAACUCCGGGUCUGCAUUCGAUACGGGCAGGCUAGAGUGUGGUAGGGGAGAUCGGAAUUCCUGGUGUAGCGGUGAAAUGCGCAGAUAUCAGGAGGAACACCGGUGGCGAAGGCGGGUCUCUGGGCCGUUACUGACGCUGAGGAGCGAAAGCGUGGGGAGCGAACAGG
rnacentral:rRNA from 1 species